rnacentral:sRNA from 1 species
GCUCCGGCGACUUUGGCUUUGUCAAGCUUGUCUGACUCGUGACGAGCAGCGGCUUGAGCAGCUUCGGCUACGAUCUUGGCACUAGCCAUGAGCUCAGCGUUCGUAGCCGGUCUGUGUGUUGUUGGAUCGGUGUUGGAGACCGGUU